rnacentral:rRNA from 1 species
UACGAAGGGUGCAAGCGUUACUCGGAAUUACUGGGCUUAAAGCGUGCGUAGGUGGUUGUUUAAGUCUGUUGUGAAAGCCCUGGGCUCAACCUGGGAACUGCAGUGGAAACUGGACAACUAGAGUGUGGUAGAGGGUAGCGGAAUUCACGGUGUAGCAGUGAAAUGCGUAGAGAUCGGGAGGAACAUCCAUGGCGAAGGCAGCUACCUGGACCAACACUGACACUGAGGCACGAAAGCGUGGGGAGCAAACAGG